rnacentral:rRNA from 1 species
CCUACGGGGGCUGCAGUGGGGAAUAUUGGACAAUGGGCGAAAGCCUGAUCCAGCCAUGCCGCGUGUGUGAAGAAGGCCUUCGGGUUGUAAAGCACUUUCAGUGGGGAAGAAAGCCUUGGGGCUAAUACCCUCGAGGAAGGACAUCACCCACAGAAGAAGCACCGGCUAACUCCGUGCCAGCAGCCGCGGUAAUACGGAGGGUGCGAGCGUUAAUCGGCAUUACUGGGCGUAAAGCGCGCGUAGGCGGUCUGAUAAGCCGGUUGUGAAAGCCCCGGGCUCAACCUGGGAACGGCAUCCGGAACUGUCAGGCUAGAGUGCAGGAGAGGAAGGUAGAAUUCCCGGUGUAGCGGUGAAAUGCGUAGAGAUCGGGAGGAAUACCAGUGGCGAAGGCGGCCUUCUGGACUGACACUGACGCUGAGGUGCGAAAGCGUGGGUAGCAAACAGGAUUAGAUACCCGAGUAGUC